GGGACAUCAGAAUCCAGCGUGGUUAUCAGGAAGCUGGCUUGGACAUAAUACCUGCAUCUCCACAUGUAACAGUUCUGAAUUUGUUUCCAUGGAACGAGGAGCAGCUGAAAGCAGGCUUACCUUGCAGAGUGGAUGAAGCAAGUGAAGGAGACGAGGAAGCAUACGAGGAGUGAGAUGUACUUGACGGUGGCCAUCGCCUGGGUGCGGUCACCAUACACGAGCUCCGUCAUGAACACCUUGCUGGUGCUGCUCACCCACGCUCCGAUGAGCGAGCCCAGCGCGAUGCACAGCGACGCCAGGUUCGUCGACGCCGAGAUGUUGCUGGAGAUCACGCUCAGCGCCAGCCCAGUCUCGGCCGGACUCGCCUGCAGCAGCAACAAGGUAAUCAACCUCCCGUCACCGUGGCCACGCUUGGACUACUCAGCUGUUUCAGUUGUCACAGAACAAAAAAUUCAGAGAUUCGGAGCUCUCGCCGGAGCUGCUCCAUGUCCGGCGGUGGUUACCUGCACCAUGCGGCGGACCCAUGCCAGCUUGUUGUGGUUCUCGUAGCCGAUGACGGUGGUGGCGGGGCGGCGGAGAAUCCGGUAGAGGAGGAGAAGAUGGUAGCCCAACAUGAUCACCAGACCACAUGGCACCAGCACCAGGGUGAUGGAGCUGGGCUGUGGUUUGCUUAUGGAUUAAUGGAUAGGAUUAGUACGUAGUACCAACGGUACGUGGCUACGUGCUGGCUUGUCG